UCCAAGAGCUCUGCUUAGCUGAUCAGGGAACAGAAAUACUCCAGGGGUCCAGUUUGCGUUUUGAACGUCAAAUGCAACAUGCUGCCUGUGACUGAUCAGCAGAGCAAGAACCACUGGCAGAAUUACUUGGCUUGCUUUCAGCUCCUGUUCAAGCCAUGCCACCUACAACUGUCUUUGGAAGCAGCAUCCCCUGUGUGGUUCUGCUGAUCCUGAGAGCUUCUGGGGAACACAGAGCUCUACUUCGCACCCAUAACAGAGGGGGAAGGAUGCAUCUACAAUGAGACAUCACACUGCCAGAUGUGUACAACCAAUCAUGGCCUGAAUCCGGAGGAGACAGCACUGUGAAUAGAAAUGACUGAUGUGUCACGUGAUGAGAAGUCAUGGGAGUUACUGCCAUGGGUUGAAACCAUGCAAAAGCGAAUAAAUGACAUUUAUUUUC